rnacentral:rRNA from 1 species
CCUACGGGAGGCAGCAGUGAGGAAUAUUGGUCAAUGGGCGGAAGCCUGACCCAGCCAAGUAGCGUGCAGGAUGACGGCCCUACGGGUUGUAAACUGCUUUUAUACGGGACUAACGCGCCUUACGUGUAGGGCUUUGCAUGUACCGUAUGAAUAAGGACCGGCUAAUUCCGUGCCAGCAGCCGCGGUAAUACGGAAGGUCCGGGCGUUAUCCGGCUUUAUUGGGGUUAAAGGGAGCGUAGGCCGCAUGUCAAGCGUGCUGUGAAAUGUCCGGGCUCAACCCGGGCCUUGCAGCGCGAACUGGCGUGCUUGAGUCCGCGGAAAGCAGGCGGAAUUCGUCGUGUAGCGGUGAAAUGCUUAGAUAUGACGAAGAACCCCGAUUGCGAAGGCAGCUUGCUGCAGCGGAACUGACGCUGAUGCUCGAAAGCGCGGGUAUCGAACAGGAUUAGAUACCCCAGUAGUC